AUUGAACGCUGGCGGAAUGCUUUACACAUGCAAGUCGAACGGCAGCACGGACUUCGGUCUGGUGGCGAGUGGCGAACGAGUGAGUAAUGUAUCGGAACGUACCCAAUAAUGGGGGAUAACGAGUCGAAAGAUUCGCUAAUACCGCAUACGCCCUACGGGGGAAAGCUGGGGACCUUCGGGCCUGGCGUUAAUGGAGCGGCCGAUAUCUGAUUAGCUAGUUGGUGAGGUAAAGGCUCACCAAGGCGACGAUCAGUAGCUGGUCUGAGAGGACGACCUGCCAGACUGGAACUGAGACCAGGUCCAGACUCCUACGGGAGGAAGCAGUGGGGAAUUUUGGACAAUGGGCGCAAGCCUGAUCCAGCCAUUCCGCGUGAGUGAAGAAGGCCUUCGGGUUGUAAAGCUCUUUCGCAAGGGAAGAAAACUUAGCCACUAACAUUGGUUGAGGUUGACGGUACCUUGAUAAGAAGCACCGGCUAACUACGUGCCAGCAGCCGCCGUAA
rnacentral:rRNA from 1 species